rnacentral:rRNA from 1 species
UAGCUAGUUGGUGAGGUAAAGGCUCACCAAGGCGACGAUCUGUAGCGGGUCUGAGAGGAUGAUCCGCCACACUGGAACUGAGACACGGUCCAGACUCCUACGGGAGGCAGCAGUGGGGAAUUUUGGACAAUGGGGGCAACCCUGAUCCAGCCAUGCCGCGUGAGUGAAGAAGGCCUUCGGGUUGUAAAGCUCUUUCGGCCGGGAAGAAAUCGCAUGGGCCAAUACCCUGUGCGGAUGACGGUACCGGCAUAAGAAGCACCGGCUAACUACGUGCCAGCAGCCGCGGUAAUACGUAGGGUGCGAGCGUUAAUCGGAAUUACUGGGCGUAAAGCGUGCGCAGGCGGUUUUGUAAGACAGGCGUGAAAUCCCCGGGCUCAACCUGGGAACUGCGUUUGUGACUGCAAGGCUAGAGUACGGCAGAGGGGGGUGGAAUUCCACGUGUAGCAGUGAAAUGCGUAGAGAUGUGGAGGAACACCAAUGGCGAAGGCAGCCCCCUGGGUCGAUACUGACGCUCAUGCACGAAAGCGUGGGUAGCAAACAGGAUUAGAUACCCUGGUAGUCCACGCCCUAAACGAUGUCAACUAGGUGUUGGGUGGGUAAAACCAUUUAGUACCGGAGCUAACGCGUGAAGUUGACCGCCUGGGGAGUAUGGCCGCAAGGUUAAAACUCAAAGGAAUUGACGGGGACCCGCACAAGCGGUGGAUGAUGUGGAUUAAUUCGAUGCAACGCGAAAAACCUUACCUACCCUUGACAUGUCCAGAAGCCUGAAGAGAUUUGGGUGUGCCCGAAAGGGAACUGGAACACAGGUGCUGCAUGGCUGUCGUCAGCUCGUGUCGUGAGAUGUUGGGUUAAGUCCCGCAACGAGCGCAACCCUUGUCGUUAAUUGCCAUCAUUCAGUUGGGCACUUUAACGAGACUGCCGGUGACAAACCGGAGGAAGGUGGGGAUGACGUCAAGUCCUCAUGGCCCUUAUGGGUAGGGCUUCACACGUCAUACAAUGGUCGGUACAAAGGGUUGCCAAGCCGCGAGGUGGAGCCAAUCCCAGAAAGCCGAUCGUAGUCCGGAUCGUAGGCUGCAACUCGCCUGCGUGAAGUCGGAAUCGCUAGUAAUCGUGGAUCAGCAUGUCACGGUGAAUACGUUCCCGGGUCUUGUACACACCGCCCGUCACACCAUGGGAGCGGGUUCCGCCAGAAGUAGGUAGCCUAACCGCAAGGGGGGCGCUUACCACGGCGGGGUUCGUGACUGGGGUGAAGUCGUAACAAGGUAGCCGUAGGGGAACCUGCGGCUG